GGAAUCAUUAGGAAUAAAAAGAAAUUCUCAGUUAGUGUGACACACAUCUGAGCUGGCUACUAAGGGAAUAAAUAGCUUCUAGAAGAUUUCAUCCAUGGCGGUAUUCGGCAGGAUCCGAUUACAUUUAAAUGCUAAUGCACAUCCUGCAGCAUUCUGAUUCACCGGAGGACUAAUGUUGCUGAUAGGCACGCAGAUAGCCUGGACGGAUAUUACAUUCUGAGCAACAGCAGAGCAAAACCCUCCCAACCUUCAGUUCCUCCAAAACGCCCAUAAACUGGCUGAGCUAGGAAAUAGCCACAAAAGAAGAGAAAUGCUCCAGGUUCACAGGAGCCAGUGGAGGACUUCAAGUCCCUAGAAGAUGGUGGAACCACAUCAUGGAAAGAGCCUGCAUCCCCAAAUGACUACAUGGAGCAGAGCCCCUGCUCCAGCCUGUAGUUGACUGUGAAACCAACAAGAAAUAAACCUGUGGUACGUCAAGCCCUCAAGAUUGUUUGUUACAGUAGCCAGUUUACUUGCCCUGGCUAAUAUAUUGUCAAAAAUCAUUAAGGAGAAAAUAAGAGGCUUUCUCUAAUUAUGUAAAUUAGACCUUCAUCUGUUUCAGUUUGGCAUUUGGGAUCUUUUUGUCCCCCCAGUUCUGAAACCGCUCUUAGUUAUGAGGAUGAUUCUGGCUAAGGGCAGGGCGGGCGGAAGAUACAGGCACCAGGGUGCGAGGAAGCCCUCAGACCCAAAUCUCUAUAAGAGCCACGCUUCUGGUUCUUUGCCUUCUCUCGCCUGUCAUCUGAUGAAAAUAUUAGGAAGCAGAGCCACAGAGAAAGUUGAGAAGCAGGAGAGAAACUACAGCAAUGACACCUGGACUGGCUUUUCCUUGGAUUAACUAGGAAUUGACGGGGUAAGGGGAGCCACGUGGCUGCUGCAGAGACCAGCAGUUCUGCAACAUGUCCAGAACCCUGCCAUCUCCACACGCCAAGGACCCCUAAGAGCUGGCCAGCCCCAGGCUGAAGAUGGGUCAUGUCAAGGACAGGGCUUUACAGAAUUCCCACCAGAGAAUAAUAAGGUGUCAUUGAGAGAGGAACAUAGAUGGCGGCAGGACAGUCUCUGCUCUGGAGGAGGCAAGUCAGGACUCCCUGUGGCAUAAGGGCUGCUCCAGGAGGGGCUGAGAGAUCACAGUGACGAGCCAAGAGCUCAGGAAAGGGCAGCAGACACUGGACUCUUGUUUCAAAUGAUUCUCAAGCAAGGGAUGCAAACGCAAAUGCCUACCUGAGGCUGAGCCUGGGCGGAGCAGGUCUGAGUCUGGACUAGCCACGUUUCCAGUGCUCAGCGGCCACAUGCGGCUGGUGGCUCCUGCAUGAGACAGUGUGGGGCAGAGUCUGUCCCCGGGCUGCUUUGCGGGGCGCUGGGACUCGGGCUUCAAGUAACAACCGCAAGCAUCAUCUAACCGUCAAACGCUGUGCUCCUCAAAGUGCGCUUGGGAGCCGCCUGUGUCCCCUCGCUGAGGGAGCUCGUUGACAAGAAAGGUUUCCAGGCCCUCACCGUCGGGGACCGUGAUCCGGAAUCUCAGAGGCAAGGGCUGGAAACUCUGCAUCUCUAGUGCGCAGCACCCUGGAUACCGAAGCGCUGCCUUCGAGCCACAGAAUAGACAUUUUUGUUUCGUUUUGUUUUUAAUAACGUCUUUGUGGCCUGGAUAGUUUUAUCAACCCAGAAUAAACCAGAAGUUGAUUGUUGCUAUGGAAUCAAAACCACAGUUGCUGUCAGCCAGUAAUUAUUAAAAACGCGUCCACCUGUGCAACGGGAGGCCGCUCUCCCUCCUGGCAGGAUUUCCCCGCCUGAACUGAGAGCAGUGGCGCUCAUCUCUGCCCCUCGGCUCCUCCUGGGGGUAAACGCUUCAUCGGUGACAGUUUUGAGUCUCCCCUUUCUCUCUUGGCUUCAUCAUCGUGGUGUCCCAGCUCCAAACCCUGAGCCCCGUUUCCUCGGGACUGAAGACGCACAGGGCUGCCUCGUAGGUGCUGUGCUGAGAUGGCUGAUUAAGUUCCCCGCUGGAUGUGUUCGGCUCUGCACGAGGCGCCCAAAGGAAGCGGGAUGACCCUGGGAGCUCAUCGUGCCACGCACUGCUGAGAGAGAAUCCCCAGUUCGCUCUGCCCCAAGUCCCCGCUCGCCUUCCUGCCAGAAGCUCAGGCCGAGGCCAAACCUGCGCGGAGCGGGUCCUGCAGCCGCGGGACCCCGGGUCUCCCUGCCCACGUGUGUUCAGACGCCCCGCGAACUGCGGCGGGGCUGCGGUCCUCACGAUUUUAAAGCAGUCCAGCGUGGUGUCUUCAGCAAUUAAAAAAAAAAAGCCUAUUUCUCACUAACUCCCCAGGGAGACGAGGCAGGUGACUUUAAAUAUC
rnacentral:lncRNA from 1 species